rnacentral:rRNA from 1 species
UACGUAGGGUGCGAGCGUUGUCCGGAAUUACUGGGCGUAAAGAGCUCGUAGGUGGUUUGUCGCGUUGUUCGUGAAAACUCACAGCUCAACUGUGGGCGUGCGGGCGAUACGGGCAGACUGGAGUACUGCAGGGGAGACUGGAAUUCCUGGUGUAGCGGUGGAAUGCGCAGAUAUCAGGAGGAACACCGGUGGCGAAGGCGGAUCUCUGGGCCUUACCUGACGCUCAGGCACGAAAGCUAGGGGAGCGAACAGG